ensembl:lncRNA
GAAGUGGGAAUGGAUGGAGUGCACAAGGGCUGGACUCCGACGACCCUGGCUGUCAAUCUCGGCAGUGAGUUCUCCCUGAGCCUCAGCUUCCUCCUCUGGAAAACGGGGAUGACAGCCCUACCCGGCAAAACCAACUUGAACGGCCCCAGCGCCGGGCCCAGGAGGCAUCCUGCAGGUGCUUUAACCAGCUUAGCAGGCGGGCAGCUGGGCUUGGUGCCUAGGCGGUCUGGUCUCUUGGAUGGGAGGGUCCGGGGCAUGGAGGGGAAAGCGGAGCCCCAAACCUGUAACUCACAUGGAUCCACUCAGCUACCAAGUAAUGCGACCGGUUCCUCCGCACGCCCACCUCUCCUUCUCCCGGCUCCGCCAGGGGCCGAGGGUCCUGCAAACGCAAACCUGCAGCAAAUAACGCUGAUUAUAGCAUUUACGAGCCUUUUCUGAGGCUCCUCACUCAACCUCUCGGUCUCUCCUCUAUCACGUGGGGUCAGCGCUGGGUGGGCACGUGCGGGUCCAGAGGAGCAGGGCCCCUGCCUCUCAUCAAGCCUUGAGGUCCGGAGGCCUUGAGGUUCAGUAAGGACAGAGGGACAGGGCUGGAUAAUAAAAUGGGGGGCGGGGGGACCUCUGGCUGUCACGCACAGAUACUGGGCAACCCGCCCCCGACCCCGGAGGAUGCCUUACGCAUGCGCGUGGCGCUGGGUUCCUUCAUGUCCGUCAAAUAGCAGAGGCGGUGCGUCCGGGCCCACGUGUACGUGCCCACGCGUGCGUGCGCAGCGUUUGCUGACUCCGCCCCGGGUACCCGGGAGAAACUGAGGCACCGAGCAGGGUGGUGGCUUGUUGGGAGCUUCAGAGCUGGCGUUCCACCAGUGCUACCUUUCCGAGGGGACCUGCGGACCAGCCAGGUGCAGCUGCGCUUUUGGCCUCUGAUUCUCAACAAAUACCCACCAUAACCCACAUCCUCCCAACCCGUGGCUUUUGUCUUCUGUUGCCUUUAACACAAAUAAUACACAAGUUUCUCUGAUGAAACUUAGAAAAUUGAGACUCGAAAGAAAAACUUCAAAUUCUCCCCUCCCACCCAGCAAAGCACUCCGGUACAGAGGGCGCUAGUGGUGAAGUUCUUGCCUGCCAGUGCAGGAAAUGUAAAAGACCAGGGUUCGAUCCCUCGGUCGGGAAGAUCCCUCUGGAGAAGGGCAUGGCACUCCAGUAUUUUUGCCUGGACAAUACCAUGGACAGAGGAGCCUGGCGGGCUACAGUCCAUGGGAUCGCAAAGAGUUGGACACGACUGAAGCGACUUGGCACGCAUGCAGGCACCCAGCAAAACAUCAAGGGUUCACCCUGCCUGAUUCUGCCUCUCCCCAACCCUGUAACCCGCGGUGCACACCCUCGGUGGCGGGCCCUCAGGGUGCCCAUCGUUAGCUGCAUGGCACGUCCACGCCCAGGUCAAAUGGCUGGCAGCUCCGCAUGCUCUAGGGAAUAUCUCAUUUUGAUCCACAUGGCCUGGAAAGGCUGGGACUUGUAGAACCAUUUCACUGAAUGUUCACCGGAAGGACUGAUGCUGAAGCUGAAACUCCAAUACUUGGGCCACCUGAUGAAAAGAGCUGACUCAUUUGAAAAGACCCUGAUGUUGGGAAAGGUUGAAAGAGGGAGGAGAAGGGGACAACAGAGGAUGAGAUGGUUGGAGGGCAUCACCGACUCUAUGGACAUGAGUUUGGGUAAACUCCAGGAGUUGGUGAUGGACAGGGAAGCCUGGUGUGCUGCGGUUCAUGGGGUCGCAGAGUCGGACACAACUGAGCGACUGAACUAAACACUGGUGUGGAGUCUGAGACCUGGGGAGCCAAAGGGACUCACCCCGGGUCACACACAUGGGAAGCAGACGGAUCUGAACCCAGGACCGCAGGAUGACAGUGGCACAGCUUUGACUGGACUUCGCUCGUGGGGAAGAGGGAACAGCCAGACCUAGGAGUUCCCACUCCAACCUGAGUGGCGGGGUGGCCCUGAGCAAGUCACUUCCCUUUUCUCCUCCCCCAUAAAUGGGCCUGACAGUCCAUGUGGUGUGAAGGAUGAAGUUCACGUUCAAUCCUGAGUCAUCCUGUAAGGGCUCUGUAAACCCCAGGACUUGGGUGCCCCUUCCCCUGGGAAGCCUGCCUUGGUUGCUCCCAGGGGCCUGGCUGCCUGAACGCUCCUCUGUGUAUCUUCAAGGCAUCAUCACAGCUGGGUCCUGGGGCGUACAGUAGGUGGUCACUCAAAAUCCGCUGGAAUGAGGAUGGCCAGACAGGCUUGGGUUCAAAUCCAGGGCCACUGCCUUGCCUCCCUGAGCCUCAGUUUACUCAUCCAUCAAAUGGGAUCACUAGCACCGCCCUUCGAUGGCUUCCUUGAGGAUUGACUGGGAUAUGUCUGGUGCACAGUAGGUGCUCAGCCCCCAUGACUGUUCAGUGAACAGCAGCGUCCUGCUCAGCUCUGGCCUUCCCCUGCCUCCUCGGGGCUCCAUCUGUGGGGGCACCUCCCCUCUGUUCAGGGAUCGCCUGCCCCGGGCAGCUGGCCCCCUGGAGCGGGCAACAGCCUGAGAAUGUGGGUGGGGUCCCCGGGGGCGGCCCUGCCCCCAGCCCCCUGCCGCUGCCGGACAGAGGCCUCAGUGUGGAGCUGCCGGGGUCCUUUCCCGGGCCCAGACCCAUGACUGGACGUCUGAGAAUGCCGCCCAUUAUCCGACUCACAGAGCACAAA